rnacentral:rRNA from 1 species
CAGUCGCCGCGGUAAUACGAAGGGUGCAAGCGUUGUUCGGAAUUACUGGGCGUAAAGCGCACGUAGGCGGAUAUUUAAGUCAGGGGUGAAAUCCCGCAGCUCAACUGCGGAACUGCCUUUGAUACUGGGUAUCUUGAGUAUGGAAGAGGUUAGUGGAAUUGCGAGUGUAGAGGUGAAAUUCGUAGAUAUUCGCAGGAACACCAGUGGCGAAGGCGGCUAACUGGUCCAUAACUGACGCUGAGGUGCGAAAGCGUGGGGAGCAAACAGGAUUAGAUACCCCAGUAGUCCCUGUCUCUUAUAC